CAUCAUCAAAGCUUGCUUUGAUGGAUGGCGACCGGCGCACGGGUGAGUAACACGUAUCCAACCUGCCGACAACACUGGGAUAGCCUUUCGAAAGUAAGACUAAUACCCAAUGAUAUCUCUAGAAGACAUCUGAAGGAGAUUAAAGAUUUAUCGGUGAUGGAUGGGGAUGCGUCCGAUUAGCUUGUUGGCGGGGUAACGGCCCACCAAGGCUACGAUCGGUAGGGGUUCUGAGAGGAAGGCCCCCACAAUGGGACUGAGACACGGACCAAACUCC
rnacentral:rRNA from 1 species